UACGUAGGGUGCGAGCGUUAAUCGGAAUUACUGGGCGUAAAGCGUGCGCAGGCGGUUUUGUAAGUCAGAUGUGAAAUCCCCGGGCUUAACCUGGGAACUGCGUUUGAAACUACAAGGCUAGAGUGUGGCAGAGGGGGGUGGAAUUCCACGUGUAGCAGUGAAAUGCGUAGAGAUGUGGAGGAACACCGAUGGCGAAGGCAGCCCCCCUGGGUUAACACUGACGCUCAGGCACGAAAGCGUGGGGAUCAAACAGGA
rnacentral:rRNA from 1 species